rnacentral:lncRNA from 1 species
GAUGGUACAGGAAAUCAAAUGUUACAGGUCAUGGAAAAUGGAAGAUUUGCAAAAUACAAGUAUUUUACCCACGUCAUGGUCAAUAAAACUGAUAUGUUCAUGAUAACAAGAUGUGGUGUGUUGUUCGUAACAAAGGGAACAUUUGGACAGCUCACAUGUGAGUGGCAGUACACUUUUGAUGAGUUCACCAAAGAGCCAUUCAUUGUCCAUGGGAGAAGAUUGCGCAUCGAAGCAAAGGAACGGGUGAAAUCUGUAUUCCAUGCCAAAGAAUUUGGAAAAAUAAUUAACUUCAAGACUCCAGAAGAUGCUAGGGUAAAUAUAAUUAAUCUUUUAUUUUAAACUACAUAGAAGCAUCUCACUUUGAAGCUGUAUAAGUGAAUUAUUUUUCACAGCAGGUGAAUUUUG